rnacentral:SRP_RNA from 1 species
GUCGGGGGGCCAGGGGUCUCCUGUAGCCGCAAAUCCCCUUCAGGCGGGACCGAACGCCCUGUUGAGGCGUGGUUUUUCCGGUUUCAGGGCCGGGUUGAAGCGUCGAAGCCCAGCCUCCGGGGAUGGAACUGCCGUACGAACCGGGCCAGGCCGGAAGGAGCAACCCUAACUACGGCGUCCCAUGCUCCGGGGAUACUGGGUGGAGCAUAGAUCCGGACACCGGGCCGGGAGGAUUACGUCCAGAUAGGGAAUCCU